GAUGAACGCUGGCGGCGUGCCUAAUACGUGCAAGUCGAGCGAAUGGAUUAAGAGCUUGCUCUUAUGAAGUUAGCGGCGGACGGGCGAGUAACACGUGGGUAACCUGCCCAUAAGACUGGGAUAACUCCGGGAAACCGGGGCUAAUACCGGAUAACAUUUUGAACCGCAUGGUUCGAAAUUGAAAGGCAGCUUCGGCUGUCACUUAUGGAUGGACCCGCGUCGCAUUAGCUAGUUGGUGAGGUAACGGCUCACCAAGGCAACGAUGCGUAGCCGACCUGAGAGGGUGAUCGGCCACACUGGGACUGAGACACGGCCCAGACUCCUACGGGAGGCAGCAGUAGGGAAUCUUCCGCAAUGGACGAAAGUCUGACGGAGCAACGCCGCGUGAGUGAUGAAGGCUUUCGGGUCGUAAAACUCUGUUGUUAGGGAAGAACAAGUGCUAGUUGAAUAAGCUGGCACCUUGACGGUACCUAACCAGAAAGCCACGGCUAACUACGUGCCAGCCGCCGCCGUAA
rnacentral:rRNA from 1 species